rnacentral:lncRNA from 1 species
ACUUGACAACCUUUUCAAUUCGAAGGUCAAAUCAACUAUCAAAACAGGUCAUGGAAUGAGUGCAAGAGAAAUGUGUAAGACGAGAUUUGGCAAAUGUUUAGAUGAACAUGCCUUCAAGUCCAGAUGCGCACACACAGAGAGAGAGAGGAGAGAGAGAGAGAGAGGGCCAAAUGGGUUAGGGAUCGGGCUCAAGCCCGAGAAGAGGUUACUUAGGUUUACUUGGCUGUAUCCAAUUAACAUUGUUGAGGCCUAGUCAACUAAUGUUAGCCUCUCUUUGUCACGUGCAUGCCAUGUAAUUUAUUGAUAUGCCAAUAGUUUACCAUAUCUGAGGCGUACAUUUAGGUGUGGGUCAAAAAUGUGAGUUAUCUUCAAUUAGACAAUGACUUACCAAUUGCCUUAUGAAUAUGAGUAGAUCCCAAAUAAGUGAGGAUUUACGAAUUGCCUCUAAUAUACGAGCCCAUCCCUAACAAGUAUGAGCUUACGAAUGGUCUUAGAAAUAUAGUCGACUUCAAAUUGAUGAGGCCUUAUAAAUUACCUUGCAUACAUUCCAAGAUGCAACAAAAUUUUGACAACAUCUAUUUGUAAUGUGGACUAAACCAACCUGAAAUACAACACAAUAUCUUCACUGCACAUAUACAAAAUAAAUAGGGCCCCGUCUACCUCUUCAAAUUCUCAUGACGAAAAGUGAAAUAAUAACAGAUCAAACUUUUUAAAACUGUAAUAUGUGGAGAGCCCAUCAAGCUAUAUGAUCAUAUAUCAUGAUGAAUAAUAAGCUUGCAUACAUUAGAAUAACAUUAUUAUUGGUCUAAAUCAGGUAAUAGCUACCGAUAAUAAAAUGAUAAUGAAAAUAAUGUGACAUUUGUAAUGAACAUAGCAUUAUGUCAUGCCACCAUUAGCUAGUUUAGUUAGAAAAAUAAAACGAUUUGAUUUUAAAAUAGUUGAAAACCAUCCAAAUCAAAUCGUGUUUACUCCUACCUUCUGUUUGUUGCCUCCUAGAGUUGCUAAAGCCUAAAAAGUGAGGACUAAUUGCACAAAUUUCUCAAAAGAAAUAUAAUGUGGCACAUGGAAUUCGAAAAGUUGAUGGUUUUACCACAGCACUAGACAUGUAGUUUUAAUAUUAUUUUGAAGCUAUAUUUUAUAUGGUAUGUGGAGCCAAAUUUACAAAAUAUAAGUCUUUCCUUACACAAAACUAAAAUUUUAAAAUCAUAGUGACCCCACUGCUCCUUUUUCAAACUGUCACUAGCUAGUAACGUAAUUAUUCUAAGUUUUAGCGAGUAGGUUAAAAGAUAAAUUUAACUUACCAAUAUUAUGUUUUUAUAUUAACCUUUCCUUUUUCAAAUAAUUUAACGUAGGUGUUACGCCUCGCCUCCUACAUGGAAGCGAACUUGGACCCGCAUUCAUGUCACUCUACCUAACAGACAGUUUGGUCAAACCUCGUGAAGAGGCCAAACCUAUAUGGGAUAUCGAACCCAUUUGACUGAGUUAAGCCCAUAUGAAGAAUCAAAACCUCAUGAGGGCGAGGCUUCGAGGGGGCCUAAUAAGAGAUCUUCUAUACAAUCCCUAGUACGUGAUUGAUGUGACAAGUCACUGCUAUUGCCACUAUAUCUAGCCAAUGAAGUCAAGUUUAAGCCUAUUGAUGGCAACAAAAUAGUAUUAGCAUUAAAUGCCUAUGAUUGAUUGAUGCUUUUGACGAGAAGCUUUAGCCGUAUGGAUGAGACCAUGUACACUUUAAUCCUAUGGCCGAUAUCCAUCAUAUUUUGCUAUAAAAGCUCACACAAUGUGUCAUUCCAAAGGUGAUGCAAGUUUAAACUCUCAAUCACAAUUUGCUAUAUUUAUUGUUAUUAUCACAAUUUUUUCCAAAACUAACCCCCUUUUUAUAUUAGAGACUCGUGUCUGAAGCACCUUCUAUACCUAUAUACACUACUUCAAUUGCUUGGCCGUCGGAGUGCGCAUAGCCAACUUCACUACUAGGGGAGAAGGCUACGUAUGAUUAAUGGUUUGUCGAAGUGUGCAGAAAUCAGACUUACGUGGACAUGGGAAGCCUUGAUAUCUGUUGACUAUGUUGGAGGUACAAAAUUUGAGGUCAAAGAUUGACAUCGUUU